rnacentral:tRNA from 1 species
AGCCUCCUCAGUGCAGUGGGCAGUGUGUCAGUCUCAUAAUCUGAGGAUCCUGAGUUCAAACCUUGGGGAGGCAA